GGGAGCCGGUGGGAGAGGACGACGGCCGGCGGGGGGAGGAGGCGGCCCUAGCGCCAUUUUGUGGAGCGAAGCGGUAGCUGGGCUGCUCUUGGAUCCCUCGCUGCUUCGGUUCCCCUGUCGGGCUUCCUAGCAGCGGCCUAGCGGAAAAAGAAGAAAAAAUGUCUGAAUAUAUUCGGGUAACGGAAGAUGAGAAUGAUGAGCCCAUUGAAAUACCGUCGGAAGAUGAUGGGACGGUGCUGCUGUCCACGGUGACAGCCCAGUUUCCAGGGGCCUGUGGGCUGCGCUACAGGAAUCCAGUGUCUCAGUGUAUGAGAGGGGUCCGGCUGGUAGAAGGAAUUCUGCAUGCUCCGGAUGCUGGCUGGGGGAACCUGGUGUACGUUGUGAACUAUCCCAAAGAUAACAAAAGAAAAAUGGAUGAGACAGAUGCUUCAUCAGCAGUGAAAGUGAAAAGAGCAGUCCAGAAAACAUCUGAUUUAAUAGUGUUGGGUCUCCCGUGGAAAACAACUGAACAGGAUCUAAAGGAAUAUUUUAGUACCUUUGGAGAAGUUCUUAUGGUUCAGGUCAAGAAAGAUAUUAAAACUGGUCAUUCAAAAGGGUUUGGCUUUGUUCGUUUUACGGAAUAUGAAACUCAGGUGAAAGUAAUGUCACAGCGACAUAUGAUAGAUGGACGAUGGUGUGACUGUAAACUUCCUAAUUCUAAGCAAAGCCCAGAUGAGCCUCUGAGAAGCCGGAAGGUGUUUGUGGGGCGCUGCACGGAGGACAUGACUGCCGACGAGCUCCGGCAGUUCUUCUGCCAGUAUGGAGAAGUGGUAGACGUCUUCAUCCCCAAGCCAUUCAGGGCUUUUGCCUUUGUUACAUUUGCAGAUGAUCAGGUUGCCCAGUCUCUUUGUGGAGAGGACUUGAUCAUUAAAGGAAUCAGCGUACAUAUAUCCAAUGCUGAACCUAAGCACAAUAGCAAUAGACAGUUAGAAAGAAGUGGAAGAUUUGGUGGUAAUCCAGUUCAUCUCAUGUCAAAUGUUUAUGGGAGAAGCACUUCAUUGAAAGUAGUGCUGUAAAUAUUCUGCCAUAGGAAUGCUUCUGUCUACAUGCUUUCUCAUUCAAGAAUUCGUCAUCACACUGCACAGGCUGCGUCUUUGACGUUUUUAAUAAGUCUGGGUGACCGCACCUAAAAUGGUAAGCAGUACCCUCCAGCUUUUUCUUAGUGCCUCUGUGCAUUUGGGUGAUGUUCUAUUUACAUGGCCUGUAUAAAUCUCCAUUGGGAAGUCAUGCCUUCUAAAAUAUUCUUAUUUGGGGGAGUUGGCAAAACAAUGUUAAUUAUUUUCAGUGCUUUGUAACAAAGCAUAUCAAUUGAAAAAAGGGAAUAUCAGCACCUUUCUAGUUUUGGAUUUGAAAAGUGGAAUUAAUUGCAAUAGGGAUAAAGUAGAAGAAACCACAAAUUAUCUUGUGCCUGAAAUCCAUUUAAGAAGCCUGAUAGCUUUAAGAACUAGCAGGGUGGGUUGUCUGUCUGUGGAAGUGUUAAGUGAAAUGGGCUUUGUCCUCCCAAGGUGGGGGAUUAUAGUAAUGUUGAAUAAAAUCGUUUACAAAACUCAGACUCUCACGAUGCAGUGUGAAGUAUGUAAAAGCAAUAAUAUAUUGAUUCUCUAUUGUACUUUUGAUGUAACUGCUACUUCUGUGAGAGUUGAGCUCGUUUUCUAACGGAAGAAUGUAACAAUUUUUGUGUUGAUAGUUUACUAUUGCCCUUAUCUAAUUAGAUUAUGAUAAAUAGGUUUGUCAUUUUGCAAGUUACGUGUUUUAAACUUUUAUAAAUGAAGUCUUCCUUUGGACUUGUGAUCGCCACAUUGUUUUGUUGUUCAGUUUUCUCUGUAAAGGGAUCUUGCGUUGUUUUAAUUUUUUUUCCUGCAUCUAAAUUGCAUGAUUUCCAAACCCUGUACCAUCUGAAUUUUGCAUUUUAGCACUUGCAAUAUUACUCAGCAGCAGUAACAUGGUAACACUUAAAAUGGUAUUCGGGGGACCUCCAAAGACUAAACUGACAAGCCUUCAAGGAACCCAGGGGUAAGUUAACUUGUCGAUGGCAUGGUUUUAAUCCCUUAUUUAUACUUGUGUAAAUCUAGUUACCAGUCUUAGAAGGCUUUCAAUGUUGAGUAGCCUUAUAUUAACAUGUUUAUGGUACUACAUAGCUAUGGGUAUUUAAUUCUACCCUAAAAAAAAAUUUUGAAGUUUAGAAGUAAACUAUUUGGCAAAGAUUUGUUUUUAAAGUCUAUUUGGUCAUCUACAUGCAUUCUAAAAAUUUUUUUGAAGCAGUUGAAUAAAAAUUUUUGUUGCCACCACAGUUUAGUGUCUGGAGUCUUACUGGAAAAACAUAGUUUCUUUUUUAUAUGUAACAAAGAUGCUGCAAAGUUACCUUUGAAAAGUGAGUCUCAAAAAGUUGGCAAUUUAUAUGCACAAGAGAAAUAAAGCCAAAACUCACAAUGAAUUUUUACAUAUAAUGGUAACUCGUUGGCUAGAAAGAAAAAUUUUGUUAAAUGUUAGUUAUUAAAACUUUUUAGGGAGGACUAGCCAACUAAAAUGAAAUGAGAUUUUUAAGGUUAAGUCAGAGCUCAAAUUUUGUCCUUAGGAAAAAGAAAGAUGUUAACUACUUAAUAAUUCAGAAAAUGCAUGUGAUAAUUAGAAUAAUUUGUUGUUGUUGAGUACUAGGAGAGUAUACCUCUUAAUUGUGUAUUUGUGAGUUCUCUACUAUACUCAGCAAUUGUAUGAUCUGUGAUCUAUUGUUUAGUUGAGUGUGCCCGACUAUUUCGUAUUCAUUGUAAAAAGGAAAAAAAAAACACUACAGAUUUAUCUAUAAGAUCAUCACUUAUUUCUAAUGUCACAUUUCAUUUUAUGGAAAUGCCACCUUUGAUUCAGCUGUCGUCUGAGUUUGAACAUUAUUUAGGUUAUUUCCAAGUGCUAGGAACAUCCUCACAGCUAAAUUAAAUUCUUAGCAGUGGAAUUACUAGGUCAAAGACUGCAUGUUUUUAAGGCUUUUGAUAUAUAUUGCCAAAUUGUCCUUUAGAAAAUUCAUGUUGUAUGACAACGUCAAAUAGCGCAAUUCCAUGUUGUUUUUGUCUGCCAAUUUGAUAAGUGAAAAAUUGUAUCUCAUCGUUUUGUGGUAUUGGUUUUUAACAUGGAAAUCAGUCAAUACCUAGGCUAAAUUAUUGAUGUUUCCAAUUGAUCUACCAAAAAAACACCACGUUUCAAGGUUGUUCCUGAACCAAUACUGCUGUAUUAUAUCACGCUCUGUUAGAGAUCAAUAAGAAAAGUCCCAAAAUAGUAGAAAAAUAGUCUAAGAACACGAACAGGCAUUUUACAGAAAUGCAAACAGCCAGUCCAAAAAAGGGAUACUGGACUUUGUAUGUAAUUAAAUACAAAUUUAACCAGUGAGUUUCUAUUGGAUUGGCAAAGAUGGUGAAUAUUACUAUAAUGUUUUAUGUCCCCUCAAAUUAAAGAGUAAGGGGUGAAAAGCUGGCGAGCUGAGAAGUGCCUGUCAUGGCAUUCCCACCUGUAGUUUGGUUUUGGUUUUUCAGUGUAGCAACAACUGCUGUGUUAAUAUUUCUCAGGUCACAUUGUGCUGCUAAGAUGUUUUACAGGUAUUUUUUUAAAAUAAGGAAUCAUUUCCUGACGGAAGACAUAAAAUUAAAAAUUAUCGAUUAUGUUCUUGAUCCAGGGAAUAUAGUUAAUGACCUUUGUGUAGACCCCAUACUGAUGUGCUUCCCCACAAUUAAUGGAACCCCAGGACACUAUUCCUCCCACAAACCACGUCUGUGUCUCAUUAUCUAGAAACACUAAUGCCCCUCCACUGUCACCUUUACAGCUGUCCUUGCCCCCGCUUUCUAAGCCAGCACAAAGCAUGUUACCAGUUACCCUUCCCCCUGGAUAGGGCUUCUUUUCAUAUGCAGCAGUACAUUUUUGGUGGUCAACAACUGGUAUGUCAACAAACUUUAGAUUUCUGGCAAGAAAACCUCUUUCAGUUAAUCCCCACCCAGCUGCAGUUCCGAUGUCAUCUGUUCUCAUGAAGGAUUCAGCUUCUUUUCUUGGUAAACAAAUAGGCAGGAUGUUGCUGUUGAUUACAACUUUGUUCUUCAAUUUAAUCAGUGCUAUGUCAUUAUCGAAACCAGUAUCAUGAUUGUAAUCUUCAUGUAUAAAAAUGGCCUCAGCCCAGGCUUGUGUGUAAUGAGGUGACAGUCUCUUCAGGGCACCCAUUCUAAUGUCUAGGGAAGAGGCAUCUUCUCUUUGCCCAUAUACAGCAUGAGCAGCUGUUAGGAUCCAUUUGUCAUAUAAAAGUGCACCUGCUGCUGUAGCUUCACCUAGUAACAGGACUUGCCAGGGAAAAUCACCAAGCUUUGCAUUUUGCCCUCCAUGUAUACGGCCUCUUGUAGUACGAGUUGAUUUUCCACAAACUGGUGAAAAAGCAGAUAUAUACAGCCAUUAGAGAAAUCUCUAAUUAGUACCACUUUGGAGUUGUGUAUAUCUAAUGUCAACCAAGAAUUGUAUUUCAUGAAUUGGUGGGUGUCCCCCUAUACAGGGAAGUGAGGCUGCUUUACAACAGCACAAUUCAAAUAGCCAUGUGAUACUUCUUAGCGCCUCAGAAAAUGAGGUGAGUGAAAAUUAACUUUUAGAAACGAAUUUGUUUUGCUAAAAGAAAUGAUCUGCAUGAUUGGAGAAAUUAUUUUGAGGGCAAACAGGAAUUGUCUGAGCUGAUGCACUGGGUGAUGUGUGUAGAAAGUGAAAGGAAAUAGCCUUUCGUUGCUUCUGUUUUCUUACUUGUAAAAUGAGUAUUUCCCAUAUAGUUCUGGGAAAGCAGGAGCCUAAGGUCACCAUCAUGGGAUUUGCAAAAUUACUUUCAUCUUUGAACAUUUAAAUGUCUUAAAAAUUAGAACAUUGCAGUUGUAGCCAAGAACCUUCUGGUUCAGAAAUUACUAUUUUUGGUCUAGUUUAUUCUUCCAGAUAUUAAAUUUUACUGUCUAUUGCGAACUAAAUACGCUCAUUAAUGUAGCAAAUUUGUUUCCUGUUGUGGCAGAAUACUUGUUUAAAACUUAUAAACGGGUCAGCUAAGAUAGAGGUUUUUAAAAAAACUAAUUUAAGCCAAAUAGCAUAAGGGUAAUGAAUAUAAUACUACCUUUCUGAAUUUUUUUUAAAAUCACUACUUAACUAUAUCCUCAGAGCAAGUUCUGGUAAAAAAAAUUUUUUAAGUACUAUUAAAGGGCAAAUUCCAUUAUUGUUUAAAAACUAGAUGUCAUCGAAAACAAUUGCUUAGGAAAAUAAUGAAGUUAUUAGCUUUGGGUUUUAAUAGCGUUUUUACAGAGAAGAAAAGUAACUCAACAGAAAAACUCAUGUUUAUAAAUGUGUAAAUGGUUCAAGAUAAUUUUAAAAAUCAUUCAUUUUUUAUGCUUGCCUAGUUGUAAGGUCAAAAAUAACUGACUGAUGCAGUCAGCACCUAACGCCCUCUCCUUGUGGACAGGGGAUCAUGGGAACAUAUUGUCUGGAAAUACUAACUUGGUGUCAGCCCAGUGCUGAAGUUGCUUUUCUGCCUCCCAUGGCUAAAGCCAUGCUUGUUGUCUCCUACCCAGUCCUACUUGCCAUCAAUUACAGAUCCCUUGUAUAAAUGUAUCCAUUACCAGGCUCGCAGAUGGGGAGUGAUUUUUCUCCUUUGGAGCUCGUCCAGAAUCCAUCAGCCUCACACACAUAUUUACCUGCAAAUCAUUGGAAAAGCAAAAAUGUUUAACUGCGUGUAUAAGGUGGUUGUCAUUUUCUUGAAUACCCCCUUGAAAAAUGUUGAUUCUUGAGCAUCAGUGAGAAAUAGAGGUGUCUGAAUAACCAUUUUACAUGAUUUCAUAAAUAGGAGGUGUCUGCAUUACCGUGUUUGCUUGCAAAGUGGAAACCUUUUAGAUGUAUAACUUGAAUAUGUAUCAAGAUCUCAAGUGCUUAAUGAUAAGGUUUUGACUUGUUAAAUUAAACCAUUUGGAAUA